CCUACGGGGUGCAGCAGUGGGGAAUAUUGGGCAAUGGGCGCAAGCCUGACCCAGCAAUGCCGCGUGAAGGAAGAAGGCUUUCGGGUUGUAAACUUCUUUGACAGGGGAAGAGCAGAAGACGGUACCCUGAAAACAAGCCACGGCUAACUACGUGCCAGCAGCCGCGGUAAUACGUAGGUGGCAAGCGUUGUCCGGAUUUACUGGGUGUAAAGGGCGUGUAGCCGGGAAGGCAAGUCAGAUGUGAAAUCUGGAGGCUCAACCUCCAAAUUGCAUUUGAAACUGUUUUUCUUGAGUACUGGAGAGGCAGACGGAAUUCCUUGUGGAGCGGUGAAAUGCGUAGAUAUAAGGAGGAACACCAGUGGCGAAGGCGGUCUGCUGGACAGCAACUGACGGUGAGGCGCGAAAGCGUGGGGAGCAAACAGGAUUAGAUACCCCAGUAGUC
rnacentral:rRNA from 1 species